rnacentral:rRNA from 1 species
AACGAACGCUGGCGGCAUGCCUAACACAUGCAAGUCGAACGAGACCUUCGGGUCUAGUGGCGCAACGGGUGCGUAACGCGUGGGAAUCUGCCCUUAGGUUCGGAAUAACUUCGGGAAACUGAAGCUAAUACCGGAUGAUGACGUAAGUCCAAAGAUUUAUCGCCUAAGGAUGAGCCCGCGUUGGAUUAGCUAGUUGGUGAGGUAAAGGCUCACCAAGGCGACGAUCCAUAGCUGGUCUGAGAGGAUGAUCAGCCACACUGGGACUGAGACACGGCCCAGACUCCUACGGGAGGCAGCAGUGGGGAAUAUUGGGACAAUGGGCGAAAGCCUGAUCCAGCAAUGCCGCGUGCAGGAUGAAGG